rnacentral:sRNA from 1 species
CUUGGUCAUUUAGAGGAAGUAAAAGUCGUAACAAGGUCUCCGUUGGUGAACCAGCGGAGGGAUCAUUACCGAGUACUAUAACUCAUAACCCUUUGUGAACCUUUAUACCUGUUGCUUCGGCGGCGCGCCUCCCGGGGCGUGCCCGCCGGCAUUAUCAGAAUCUCUGUUCGAACCCGACGAUACAUCUGAGUGUUCUAAGCGAACUGUUAAAACUUUCAACAACGGAUCUCUUGGCUCCAGCAUCGAUGAAGAACGCAGCGAAACGCGAUAUGUAAUGUGAAUUGCAGAAUUCAGUGAAUCAUCGAAUCUUUGAACGCACAUGGCGCCUUCCAGUAUCCUGGGAGGCAUGCCUGUCCGAGCGUCGUUUCAACCCUCGAGCCCCCGUGGCCCGGCGUUGGGGAUCUGCCCAGGCAGUCCCCGAAAACCAGUGGCGGACCCGUUGGGCCCUUCCUUUGCGUAGUAACAUCUGCCUCGCAUCGGGAGCCUGCGGGCUAUCCGGCCUCUAAACCCCCCUCAAGCCCGCUCCGGCGGCACCAAGGUUGACCUCGGAUCAGGUAGGAAUACCCGCUGAACUUAAGCAUAUCAAUAAGCGGAGGAAAAGAAACCAACAGGGAUUGCCUCAGUAACGGCGAGUGAAGCGGCAACAGCUCAAAUUUGAAAUCUGGCUCCUUCGGGGCCCGAGUUGUAAUUUGCAGAGGAUGCUUUUGGCGCGGUGCCUUCCGAGUGCCCUGGAACGGGACGCCACAGAGGGUGAGAGCCCCGUAUGGUUGGACACCAAGCCUAUGUAAAGCUCCUUCGACGAGUCGAGUUGUUUGGGAAU